rnacentral:lncRNA from 1 species
GACAUAUCUCUGGGACCAAAACCUAGGUGAUGUGACUCUCUUCUGACAGGGUCAUGCCCACAGAAGAAAGAUGGCUUAUUGCCAAACCCAGCACACAGGAAAUGUGUCUCUCCUCUUCUGCCUGCACCUUGCCAACAGAGAAAAUUGUGACAUAUUACUGAGCCUAGCAACCAGGUGAUGUGUCUCUCCUGCCUGGGCCUGGCUGACAGAAAGCAGUGUGAUAUAUUCCCGGGCCCAGCAAACAGGUAAUGUGACUCUCCUGCCUAGUCCCUGGCCUCCAGGAAGAUUUUGACAUAUUCCUGGCUCCAAAAAACAGGUGACGUGACUCUACUUAUCAUUCCCUAUCCACGGGUGUAAUUGUCACAUUUAUCUUGGCCUAGCUCACAGAUGGCAUAAGUCUCAUACCUUGAACCAGCCAAUAGCAGAGAUCCUGUGUCUCUUAGCAAGGCUUAGGCAAAUAGUCCACAGGUGGGUUAUUGACACUCAGACCAAGAUUCAGUACACCUGAAAGACUGUGACUCCACUAAGAAAACAGUCUGUGAGAGGAAUUGAGGCUCUCGUCCAUGGAUCUAGUCCACUGUUGAGAUUGUGAAUCAUGUACUUAGGCCCAACAUAAAAGAGGUGUUGAUUCUCAUACCUGGAACCUGGACAUGUGCAGGAUUGUUAAUCUCAUUUAUGAACAUUCCUGCAGCUGUGAUUGUGACAUAUGCCUCUGCCCAGCACCUGAGUGAUUGAAUUCUUCUGCCUGGGCUCAGCCCACAGAUUGGAUUGUGAAACAUUGCUGAACCCAGGACCUAACUAAUGUAAAUCUAUUCUCCUGCCUUGGCACUGCCCACUGGGAACCCUGUGACAUAUUGCUGCA